rnacentral:rRNA from 1 species
AGUGAACGCUGGCGGUAGGCCUAACACAUGCAAGUCGAACGGCAGCACAGUAAGAGCUUGCUCUUACGGGUGGCGAGUGGCGGACGGGUGAGGAAUACAUCGAAAUCUACUUUUUCGUGGGGGAUAACGUAGGGAAACUUACGCUAAUACCGCAUACGACCUACGGGUGAAAGCAGGAGAUCUUCGGACCUUGCGCGAUUGAAUGAGCCGAUGUCGGAUUAGCUAGUUGGCGGGGUAAAGGCCCACCAAGGCGACGAUCCGUAGCUGGUCUGAGAGGUUGAUAGGCCCACUGGAACCUAGACACGGUCCAGACUCCUACCGGAGGCAGCCGUUGGGAAUAUUGGAACAUUGGCGGAAGCCUGAUCCAGCCCUACCGCGUUGGUGAAGAAGGCCUUCGGGUUGGAAAGCCCUUUUGUUGGGAAAGAAAAGCAGCAGGUUAAUACCCCGCUGUUCUGACGGUACCCAAAGAAUAAGCACCGGCUAACUUCGUG